UACGUAGGUGGCUAGCGUUGUCCGGAAUUACUGGGCGUAAAGGGCGCGUAGGCGGUUCGAUAAGUCAGCUGUGAAAACCAUGGGCUUAACUCAUGGCCUGCAGUUGAGACUGUCGGGCUGGAGUGUGGGAGAGGAGAGUGGAAUUCCUGGUGUAGCGGUGAAAUGCGUAGAUAUCAGGAGGAACACCGGUGGCGAAGGCGGCUCUCUGGACCACAACUGACGCUGAGGCGCGAAAGCUAGGGGAGCAAACAGG
rnacentral:rRNA from 1 species